UAAUCAAUAACACAAACCAAAUAUGCCCAAAAGAUAACCGGGGACUCGAACUCAUGAUCCCUCCUUGUACCCUCAUUCAAAUGCGUUAACCGGGGAUGUACGGAGGCUAUGGACAGAUACAUCUAACAUAUCCGAUGCCGCCACGAGAUCGAAAAGUUUAACCCGUUUGGCGGCAAUCUGGUGGGUCGUCUGGACUAAGCGCAACAAUACUAUCUUCCGCGAGGUGCUUUCCAAUAUUAUCCGGACUCUUGAACGUGUCGCUUCUUUGACCAAUGCCUAUAACGGAGCCCUUUGACCCUUGCUUGUCCGUUCUUUUAUGCUCGGUCCCCAUUUCUUCUUUUUCGUUAUCCAUCCCGUUUUUCUUGUUUACUUUGUCUAAUCGGUAGGUGUAGAGUUCUUUAUUUUGGAUUUUCUUUCUUGUAUUUUUUCGGCUCUUUCAGGAGGCCCUAGCUGUCUCCAUCAUGUACGCUUAGUUCAUUUCGCUUAAUGAAUGAAGUAGGUAGCUUGCUACCUAUUUCUCAAAAAAAAAAAAAAAAUUCUGAUUUUAGAUUUUGUAAACAGAAUAAAAUUUAUUAAUUCUGAUAGUUGUUGUUUGUUUUACAAAAAAUCAAAUUUCAAUUCUCGUUCCAUUUUUGAAUAAGAAAGAUCUCAUUUAUUUAUGGCCCAAUCCGACUUUGAAUUCUGAAUUGGCUUAUUCCAAACGCUCUCUCACAAACGCUUCUUCUUUCUCUCCCUUUCAUCACUCUCCUCUUCUUAACCAAUUUUUUUUUUAUCAAAAUCUAAAUGUCCAUUCUGAUUUCCAUUCGAAUAAUGAAUCAAAAAUUUUUCGAUGAUUAGUCAUCUCAUUUUCCAAUAUAAUGUAAUUCAAUUUUAUUUAGUUUCUAUUCAAUUCUAAUUAUGAACCUGAGCGAAAACUAAGGACCUGUUCGAUUCUUUUGAAAAUAUUCCGAAAAAAAAAUU
rnacentral:lncRNA from 1 species